CAGAAAUGUAGGGAAAGGCUGCGUACUAUAGACCCAAAGUGGUCGGACCCUUUCCUGGACCCUGCGCAAGCGGGAGCUACAUGCACCAGGUUGCCCUUUAUGGUCAUCUGAGUGUGGCACUUGUUGUCUUCAUCCUGUAUAUCCAUGGAUUUUCAGUUGGCAAAGGUUGAUUGAUGUUUGAUAUGAACAGAAUAAACUCUACAGGUCAAAGGGAAAAUGGAAUGGGCUUCCAUAUGAUGGAUGUACAUGGGGGAAAUAAGUCUCAUAUCUUGGUGUUCCAAUCUCAGAUUGAAUUCUUCAACAAGAUUUAGUCCAGGAGCAAGUCUACUGAGAAGAGCAAGGGUGUCGAUCAUGAAUUUUUGUUUUAGUUGACUGUAGGUUUCAUGUGGUAUGUCUCCAGGUUCGUUCUUUGAAUUUGCUUUUUUGUUAACUUCUGACGCUAUAUAUUUUAUAUCAGUAAAAGUGUCAUCCUUGGUGACAAGAUGCGACUAUAUUAGAGCUAUUAUUAGUAUACGCUAGAUUGGAUCAAAUGUAGAUAUAAAAAUGCAACAAAACUGCAAGUCCACAUCUGAUUCAACACACUUCCACUGUGUAGUGUUUGAGUGGAUCCUGCUGCCUCCUCUCGAACCAUAAUAGAGCAGUAUUAUUGUUUUAUCAUUGAAUUGUUUAUUUAUCUUGAAAGUUGAAAGCGGGUUAAUUCUUCCUUUUUUAGGCGGUUGACAUCCAUUAUGUGGCAUAGGUGAUAGGUGUUCAUUGCGUAUACAACUUAAUCCCACACCACUUUUAGCAAUGGCUCGUAAUGUGGCAUCUCUUCCACUACCAGGGCCCUUUACCAUAACUUCUGCUUGUUGCAAACCUACUGUGCGAAUAGCAUAUACUGCUGUUCUUUGAUCAGCAUAGGGUGAUGCUUGGUAAUUACCCCUCUCUCAGCCUUGCAAAGUUUGGGAGUGUGAAUUUUCAACUUGGACACCUCAUAGAAUGUUGGUUCGAAUAUUCGAAAUUGAUCAUGUAUAUAUCCCUAGCAGAUCUAAGCUGUCACUACUUCUCUUCUUUUGGUUGUCAGGAAAUGUAUUUUUGAUCUCAGCUUCUAAUGAUGAAAAGAAGCAGUCAAGAAUAAAAUUUGAUGUCCUUUGGCACCUUAUGAGAUGAUAAACAUCAACACUGAUGUUCUCAUAACUACAAAAUAGGAAUGCAUGCAUCAAUGGAAUGAAGGGCGUUGGUUGAAAACCAAAGAUUCUACAUUGUUUGGUCUAUUUAAAGUCUCGACUAUGGAAACUUGCUCAGAGGAUGCAACCAAGGCCAAAUAUUCAGACUUCACUUUAUGGCUAAUAUCAAUAUGGAAGACACAACACUAUCCUGGCAUGAUGCUUGGUCUUUCUUGGGUGCUGCAACCCCUCUCAAUGACAGAUUCAAAGGAUUUUUUCUUAUGUGAUUGAUGACAAAAUUUCUGUCCUUGAUUUCCUGCAUGAGCAUGAUUAUACCAACUUUUUUCAGUUACCACUCUCUGUGGAGGCCAUGGAAGAAUGCAGACUCCUUGAGGGAACCCAGAACUUGCCCAUAAAUAAUACUGCAAAUAAUAAUUGGUUAUGGUCACCUGGUAAAGGUAAUUACUCUGCAAAGAGUUUUUACACAACAAUGCAUGCCCACAUGCCAGUUGAUGAGCCAUGUAAAUGGAUAUGGGAAAGCAGGAGUAUCAUGAAGAUUAAGGUCUUUGCAUGGCUGAUGCUUAAUGACAGAUUAAAUACCAGAGAUAUGCUGGUUAGAAGGCACUGGAGGCAACAGAAUGAUGAGAAUAACUGCCCUUUAUGCCCCACUCAAACCCUGGAGGACAUAUAUCACCUAUUUUUAAGUGUACCUUCAGUGCAAAGGUAUGGAAUUAUUUUCAGAUCCAGUGGACUGCUGGUCUAAACCCAAGAGAGUGCAUCCUUCAUGCCAAAAGAAGCUUUGGAUACCCUUUUUUCCAUGAGGUUGCUUUUCUGGCUGCCUGGAACAUUUGGCUUAUUCGGAAUGGAAGGAUCUUCAGUCAUGAGAGGCCUUCUUUUAGGGGAUGGAAGGAAAGGUUCAUACAUGAUGUGACAAGACCAGCUUUGUUAAACUGGAUUAACUCUCUCCCAUAGGAGUUUGUUUAUAGCUUUUCUGUAAUUAUCUAACAUGUAAAUAGGUAAAUCUAGUUUUUUCUCUUAGCUUGGCUUAGUCUUUUUUUUUUGGUUUGUAAGACUCCUCAGUUCUUUAAUAAAGGUGUUGCCUCACAGUAGU